GGGAGUAGCUGACGGUCCGCGGUUUUUAAUCGUGUGUACUGUAUUUUGUCUAUUCUCAUCCUUGUAGUGAAUGUAUCUGGCAUUUAGUUGUCGGGUGCAGGAGCUGCAUCGUUUACUGUGAAAAAAUUAGAGUGUUUAAAGCAGGCUUAUGCCGUGAAUAUAUUAGCAUGGAAUGAUAUUAUAGGACUUUGGUGCUAUUUUAUUGGUUUGCACAUCAAGGUA
rnacentral:rRNA from 1 species